UUAGCAGCACGGCGCAUUUGCG
rnacentral:miRNA from 2 species